rnacentral:lncRNA from 1 species
GUGUCCCCUGUACUCUGCGCACGCGGGGACCCACACCGGCUGCCACCUGCGGGACCUGUCGGCCCUGGGCUUCUGCAACUACUUUCUGCUGAACGGAACCAGCCCCGGGGCCGCCAUCCAGUUCAUGGAUUCCAUCUGGAACACGAAGCAAAUAGAGCGACUGAACCCGCCGGACAACGUCACCGUGCACUGCAACGCGUCGCACUGCCGCGCGAGGUGGAUGAGGCCGCGGACCUGGACCGUCCUGUCCUCCAUGGACUUCCUGUACGAAGUGGACGUGCAGAGAUGGCGCGCUGACCUCGGCAGCGGGACCCCUCUGGCUCUGACGCCCAGGACGCCCCAACCCUGCGCCUGUACGUCCUGGUGGUGCUGCUCACCCUCGUGUGCACCCUGCUCCUGGGCUUUCUCUUCACAAGGUAACCCCACACGCAGCCCGUCUGCCGCUGUGGCACCUGGGAGGGGCCUUUCUGACGGCGGGCUUCAUAAAGGAGCUGCGUCUCGCGGCGGACGUGACGUGACCACACCUGGUUCUGUCUCCUCUCUGACCCUUGGUAUGAGUGCGAAAGUGUUUCACAAUCCGAGGUGUCACUGUAUAUUACAUAGGCACCAUGUAUAGACCGUGGUGGAGUACUAUGAUGCUGUGAAAAAGGAUGGAGCCGUACUCUCUGUGAAAGGAAAACAGGCAGAGAAAAGGCAGCGCAUGUAGAAAAGGGCACCGUGCAGCCGUGAAAAAGGCCCAGGCCCUGCCAUUUACCACAGAUGCCGGCGGGAUUAAGAAAAGGCAGUGUGCGUGUGUUUGCCGGAACUCUACACAACCACAGUGAAGGCUGAGACCACGUCAUUUUCAAGGGAAUGGACGGAAACCGAGGUCGCCCUGUUAAACGUCAUGGAGAGGCUCGGGCACGAGCAUUCCACGUUUCCCAUAAUGCGUGCAGCGUGGAACGCGUCCCCCGGGUGGGGCUGGGAGACUCGUCCCAGACCAGAGCGGGGACAGGGAGGCCCUGAAGAGGAGGAGGUGACUGGAAAACGUCAGAUGCUGUGUGUCAGGCUGAGGACACGGCCCGGGGUCCCAGCCACCUUCAGCUGAACCUUUGUCCCCAGGUUUAUUUGGAUCCACGGUCUGUGCCCCCCCGGGCCCAAGAUCAAAAUGAUGGAUGUGGAUAAAGUGAAUCAAGAGGUAGAGUGGACGCGUGGGGCAGGGUGGGGACAGGGAUGGCCAGCAUCACCGCCGUCCACCCCGGGACAUCUGCAUCCUCUGGGGUCGGGUUGGGGGCUCAACUGUGAGCACACUUGGGGAAGUGGAGGAGAAGAGAGACAGAGACAGGGUGAUGCAGGGAGACAGAGAUUAUGAGACACGGAAAGAUGGGCAGAGAGCGAUGUGGUGGCAGACCUCGGGACCUUUGCACAUGCUGUGUCCCGCCAGUCCUCCGCACGACCCCUUGCUCAGCCGCUCGUGCCCCAGGACCCCGUCAGGGACGCACUGACGCCACUGUCCUCCCCCCGUCAGGUGCCCUGGGAGGACAACGCCCCGAGUGUUGAGAAAGGAGAGCAAGAGGAGGUGCUGACAGUGGAGGAGGUGUCGUGAGCCUGGCACAACCGGCGGCGGCGGCGGCGAGGAGCUUCCGUCUGCGCCACACACACUGCGGCGGGGGCGGGGCUUCGGGGCUUCGGUGUUCGCAGCGUUUGUGUUUUUUUUUAAAUAUUCUUUCGCAAAUGUGCCCGUGGCCUCCUGGACCCUGCUGUCGCCACAGCCCCGUCCUCUCUGGUUGUUUUUCUCUUUCUGCCUUGGAGCAGGGGCCUUGGACCGAGCGCCCGCAAACCCUGCUCCCCGAUCAACCCUCUGUCCUCACUGGUCGCCUUUCGUUGUUUUGUCUCCGUGACACCCGGCCGCCCGUCGUGUGUUCCGUGGCCGCUCAGGGAGGACCACAGGCGACCAGGGGUGCGGUGCCUGCCCUGUCGGCCUCCACCAACCAGAUGAUGUGGACGCACGGGGCCGGGGACGUUGUUUACUCAACCGCGCCGCAGAAGGGGCCGCGUCGUGCGGGCCGGGCAGCUGCAGGAGGGGACGGGGUCGAGGACAAAGCCCGUGUCGCUCGGCGAGGAGUCACAGGAAUGCACG